rnacentral:lncRNA from 1 species
GCGGGUCGCGCCGGAGGGGGGCGGAGGCGGAAGUGGCGGUGCCGGGCCCGGGGAGUAGGAAGGAGCCGGGGCUGUAGCCGGAGUGGAGCGGCUGCCAGCCGAGGAGCAGGCGCGGCCGCGGCGCCAUAUUGCGGCCCUCAGCGGCCGCGACCGAGUCAUGGCUGAGACCUACGACUUCCUCUUCAAAUUCCUGGUGAUUGGCAGUGCAGGAACUGGCAAAUCAUGUCUCCUUCAUCAGUUCAUUGAGAAUAAGUUCAAACAGGACUCCAACCACACAAUCGGCGUGGAGUUUGGAUCCCGGGUGGUCAACGUGGGUGGGAAGACUGUGAAGCUACAGAUUUGGGACACGGCUGGCCAGGAGCGGUUUCGGUCAGUGACGCGGAGUUAUUACCGAGGGGCGGCUGGAGCCCUGCUGGUGUACGACAUCACCAGCCGGGAGACAUACAACUCACUGGCUGCCUGGCUGACGGAUGCCCGCACCCUGGCCAGCCCCAACAUCGUGGUCAUCCUCUGUGGCAACAAGAAGGACCUGGACCCUGAGCGGGAGGUCACUUUCCUGGAGGCCUCCCGCUUUGCCCAGGAGAAUGAGCUGAUGUUCCUGGAGACCAGCGCUCUCACAGGCGAGAACGUGGAGGAGGCGUUCCUCAAGUGUGCCCGCACUAUCCUCAACAAGAUUGACUCAGGCGAGCUAGACCCGGAGAGGAUGGGCUCUGGCAUUCAGUACGGGGAUGCGUCCCUCCGCCAGCUUCGGCAGCCUCGGAGUGCCCAGGCCGUGGCCCCUCAGCCGUGUGGCUGCUGAGCUCUGUGGAGCCAGCCACCCUGAAGGGUCCCUUCCCAAGCCCUUAGGGACCGCAGAGGACUUGGGGACCAGCAAGCAACCCCCAGGGCACGAGAAGAGCUCUUGCUGUCUGCCCUGCCUCACCCUGCCCCACGCCAGGCCCGGUGGCCCCCAGCUGCAUCAAGUGGAGGCGGAGGAGGAGGCGGAGGAGGGUGGCACCAUGGGCCCGGGCGGUGCCCUCCAUGCCCGGGGGAUGAAGACACUGCUGCCAUGGACAGCCCGUGCCAGCCGCAGCCCCUAAGUCAGGCUCUCCCUCAGUUACCAGGGUCUUCGUCAGAGCCCUUGGAGCCUGAGCCUGGCCGGGCCAGGAUGGGAGUGGAGAGUUACCUGCCCUGUCCCCUGCUCCCCUCCUACCACUGUCCAGGAGUGCCUAGUGAGGCCUCGGCAGGGAGUGGGACCCCCAGAGCCACAGCCACCUCUACCACUGCCAGCCCUCUUCGGGACGGUUUUGGCGGGCAGGAUGGUGGUGAGCUGCGGCCGCUGCAGAGUGAAGGCGCUGCAGCGCUGGUCACCAAGGGGUGCCAGCGAUUGGCAGCCCAGGGCGCACGGCCUGAGGCCCCCAAACGGAAAUGGGCCGAGGAUGGUGGGGAUGCCCCUUCACCCAGCAAACGGCCCUGGGCCAGGCAAGAGAACCAGGAGGCAGAGCGGGAGGGUGGCAUGAGCUGCAGCUGCAGCAGUGGCAGUGGUGAGGCCAGUGCUGGGCUGAUGGAGGAGGCGCUGCCCUCUGCGCCCGAGCGCCUGGCCCUGGACUAUAUCGUGCCCUGCAUGCGGUACUACGGCAUCUGCGUCAAGGACAGCUUCCUGGGGGCAGCACUGGGCGGUCGCGUGCUGGCCGAGGUGGAGGCCCUCAAACGGGGUGGGCGCCUGCGAGACGGGCAGCUAGUGAGCCAGAGGGCGAUCCCGCCGCGCAGCAUCCGUGGGGACCAGAUUGCCUGGGUGGAAGGCCAUGAACCAGGCUGUCGAAGCAUUGGUGCCCUCAUGGCCCAUGUGGACGCCGUCAUCCGCCACUGCGCAGGGCGGCUGGGCAGCUAUGUCAUCAACGGGCGCACCAAGGCCAUGGUGGCGUGUUACCCAGGCAACGGGCUCGGGUACGUAAGGCACGUUGACAAUCCCCACGGCGAUGGGCGCUGCAUCACCUGUAUCUAUUACCUGAAUCAGAACUGGGACGUUAAGGUGCAUGGCGGCCUGCUGCAGAUCUUCCCUGAGGGCCGGCCCGUGGUAGCCAACAUCGAGCCACUCUUUGACCGGUUGCUCAUUUUCUGGUCUGACCGGCGGAACCCCCACGAGGUGAAGCCAGCCUAUGCCACCAGGUACGCCAUCACUGUCUGGUAUUUUGAUGCCAAGGAGCGGGCAGCAGCCAAAGACAAGUAUCAGCUAGCAUCAGGACAGAAAGGUGUCCAAGUACCUGUAUCACAGCCGCCUACGCCCACCUAGUGGCCAGUCCCAGAGCCGCAUGGCAGACAGCUUAAAUGACUUCAGGAGAGCCCUGGGCCUGUGCUGGCUGCUCCUUCCCUGCCACCGCUGCUGCUUCUGACUUUGCCUCUGUCCUGCCUGGUGUGGAGGGCUCUGUCUGUUGCUGAGGACCAAGGAGGAGAAGAGACCUUUGCUGCCCCAUCAUGGGGGCUGGGGUUGUCACCUGGACAGGGGGCAGCCGUGGAGGCCACCGUUACCAACUGAAGCUGGGGGCCUGGGUCCUACCCUGUCUGGUCAUGACCCCAUUAGGUAUGGAGAGCUGGGAGGAGGCAUUGUCACUUCCCACCAGGAUGCAGGACUUGGGGUUGAGGUGAGUCAUGGCCUCUUGCUGGCAAUGGGGUGGGAGGAGUACCCCCAAGUCCUCUCACUCCUCCAGCCUGGAAUGUGAAGUGACUCCCCAACCCCUUUGGCCAUGGCAGGCACCUUUUGGACUGGGCUGCCACUGCUUGGGCAGAGUAAAAGGUGCCAGGAGGAGCAUGGGUGUGGAAGUCCUGUCAGCCAAGAAAUAAAAGUUUACCUCAGAGCUGCACACAUCUGA